UGAGGCAUAACCAUAGACAUACUGCAAGGUGAAAAUUAGAAUUCCAAACCAAACGAUAUGAAAAUCCUAUUCUAUUUUCCCACUCUCUUAGUACUUGUUCUCUCUAUUGGAUUUGGUAUGCGCCAAAUUCUUACAAUUCAAUAUAUAUUAUUUUUAAUAAUUAUUGUUGUGAUGAUUUUAGUUUCUUUUCUAAUAAUAGUGUAUUUUGUGUCCAAAUAUUUGUAGGAAAUAACAAAUUCCAGGUGACGGGGGAAAAAUUAUUAUGCCAAUGUCUUUUUUCCAAGAGUCUUUGUGCAAAUCGAAAUGCAACUGUAGAUCCAUGUUUCCUUUUUUGCAGAUUUUGGAUUAAAUCCGCGGAAUCUGAAUGUAAACCAUCAGGUUACUGCAUGUGUACGUAUCCAAAUCCACAUCCAGAACAUGUAUGUAAAUGUCACACACCCCCACGUCGGUUAAUUAAUUUGUUAUGAAUGGAACACUCCACAUACACACAACGUUCGCCUUCUUUUAGGUGGAAUUAUUCACCUUUUACAAAGUAAAGCUAUGUAAGAAUGGUAAAUUGAAUAAAGGUACAAGAAUAUAUAUUAUGAUUGUACUAUUCAUCUAUCUAUCUAUCAAAUAAUAAUAAAGCACGCGUUGUGUUAUAAUUUA
rnacentral:lncRNA from 1 species